GCGGGGAUCAGCUUCCUUCAGCUCCAGCAGCGCCAAGCGUGGCUCUCGGUUUUGUCGGGUUUUCGCUCUCUUUUGUUGAUGGGUUUUGUUUGGCUUUUUUGCCCCCUGAGGUUCCCUGAGGACCGAGCCCUCGCCGAGAGGCCGAGAAGAGGAAGGGGGUAGGGGAAAGGCCGGUGCCGGCCUCCUCUUGUCAGCAGAGCAGGAGUGGAAAGUUGCACGAAGGCAUGAAUGUAAUGUAAAUAAAUGACUCCGACUCCGAAAACAAACAGACAGACAGACAAAAAAGAAAAAAAAAAAAAAAAAAAGUGCUGCAUGGCUCGCAUGGAUACAACGCACCCCAGGGACGCUCCAGCCCCCGACUGGAAGCAGCGUCUAGUUCACAUCAUCAUCCCUCUUACCUGAUAAGUCCCUUCGUAUCAAACCUUCUAUAUACGAAAUACAGUAUGAUAAUAAAAAGUGCCAUUUCGCCAUUUUUGUGUGAUCAAUAGGCAGUAGAGAUCGUACUUUUACCGUGGAAAAAAUUGUAAAGGUUUUAUUUAAGACACAGUUGCAUGAAUAUUCUCAUCGGAUCAUUUCCUUCUUUCUUGUUUUCUUUCCUUUUUUGGGAGGGGGAGGGGAAGUGGGAAUUACUUUGUUGGGAGAGAUUUGCUUUGCUGCUGGUGGGUUUGGUUCUUUUUUUUUUUUUAUCUGGGGGGGGGGCACCUUGGUUUUCUUUUCACUCUCUUCUUUUUCAAUAUACAUAUUCAGUAUUGCUUUUCCAUCUGAACGUAAAAAUUAGUACCCUUGAUUUCUAUUAUGGUAACAGUGCAAACAGUCAAAAAAAAAAAAAUCCGAGGCAGUUAAGCAUGACCAAUUAAUGUCACUCUAGUGCUUAGGCUGCAAAGUUUAAUGGUAGAAAAUUCUGUGCUGUUGUAAAUCUUACUAUAAUUUGAGGAAAUCAGAACUGAGGAAGCAAGUGAAACUUACUAAUUCUAUUCGAGGAUUUUAUAAUGGCAUAUUUUUUCAGUAUUAAAGUGAAAAUGUUUUCAA